GACGAACGCUGGCGGCGUGCUUAACACAUGCAAGUCGAACGAAGUGGCGAACGGGUGAGUAACGCGUAAUCACCCUGCCCUUCAGAGGGGGACAACAGUUGGAAACGACUGCUCAUACCGCAUACUGAAGGAGGGGAUUGGGUCUGAUUAGCUAGUUGGAGGGGUAACGGCCAACCAAGGCGAUGAUAAGUAGGUGGGCUGAGAGGAUGAACAGCCCCAUUGCGACUGGAACGCGGCCCAGACUCCUACGGGAGGCAGCGGUGGGGAAUCUUCCGCAAUGGACGAAAGUCUGACGGAGCAACGCCGCGUGAGUGAUGACGGCCUUCGGGUUGUAAAGCUCUGUUAAUCGGGACGCGGUACCGGAAUAGAAAGCCACGGCUAACUACGUGCCAGCAGCCGCGGUAAUAC
rnacentral:rRNA from 1 species